rnacentral:tRNA from 1 species
GGCUUGAUAGCACAGUUGGGUAAAGCAUCGUAUUAUGGGCACGAAGAUGAUGAGUUCGAUACUCAUGCAAGCCA